UACGGAGGGUGCAAGCAUUGAUCGGAAUUACUGGGCGUAAAGGGCGCGUAGGCGGUUUUAUAAGUCAGGUGUGAAAUUCCAGGGCUCAACCCCGGAGCAGCACUUGAAACUGUAAGGCUAGAGGUCAGUUAGAGAAAACGGAAUUCCACGUGUAGCGGUGAAAUGCGUAGAUAUGUGGAAGAACACCAGUGGUGAAGACGGUUUUCUGGGCUGAGCCAGACGCUGAGGCGCGAAAGCAAGGGGAGCAAACAGG
rnacentral:rRNA from 1 species